rnacentral:rRNA from 1 species
AUUGAACGCUGGCGGCAGGCCUAACACAUGCAAGUCGAGCGGAUGAAGGGAGCUUGCUCCUGGAUUCAGCGGCGUAUGGGUGAGUAAUGCCUAGGAAUCUGCCUGGUAGUGGGGGAUAACGUCCGGAAACGGGCGCUAAUACCGCAUACGUCCUGAGGGAGAAAGUGGGGGAUCUUCGGACCUCACGCUAUCAGAUGAGCCUAGGUCGGAUUAGCUAGUUGGUGGGGUAAAGGCCUACCAAGGCGACGAUCCGUAACUGGUCUGAGAGGAUGAUCAGCCACACUGGAACUGAGACACGGUCCAGACUCCUACGGGAGGCAGCAGUGGGGAAUAUUGGACAAUGGGCGAAAGCCUGAUCCAGCCAUGCCGCGUGUGUGAAGAAGGUCUUCGGAUUGUAAAGCACUUUAAGUUGGGAGGAAGGGCAGUAAGUUAAUACCUUGCUGUUUUGACGUUACCAACAGAAUAAGCACCGGCUAACUUCGUG